rnacentral:rRNA from 1 species
GAUGAACGCUGACAGAAUGCUUAACACAUGCAAGUCAACUUGAACUUCGGUUUGGGUGGCGGACGGGUGAGUAACGCGUAAAGAACUUGCCUCACAGCUAGGGACAACAUUUGGAAACGAAUGCUAAUACCUGAUAUUAUGAUUAUAUGGCAUCGUAUAAUUAUGAAAGCUAUAUGCGCUGUGAGAGAGCUUUGCGUCCCAUUAGCUAGUUGGAGAGGUAACAGCUCACCAAGGCGAUGAUGGGUAGCCGGCCUGAGAGGGUGAUCGGCCACAAGGGGACUGAGACACGGCCCUUACUCCUACGGGAGGCAGCAGUGGGGAAUAUGGGACAAUGGACCGAGAGUCUGAUCCAGCAAUUCUGUGUGCACGAUGAAGUUUUUCGGAAUGUAAAGUGCUUUCAGUUGGGAAGAAAAAAAUGACGGUACCAACAGAAGAAGUGACGGCUAAAUACGUG